GCAAUUUCAAUUCCGUCACUUUAGAUAAGCUAUUGCAACAACUUAUACUGAUAUCCAGCUAAUGCAAGGGCUAAUGCAACGAAUUUAAUGUGCCGUGGCGUUAGAUAGGCUAAUGCAACGACAAUUAAGCCUAAUACCACGGUACAAAAGCUAUAUAAUGAUAUAAUCUGGCGCUUAAAGUUGUAGGGUUUGUCCGCCUCACCAUUUCCCUGAAAAUUUUGAAAGACCGCCCAAUCUAAGAAAAAACAAAACUAACAAAAAAAAAAAAAAAGUAAAAAACAAAAAACAAAACCAAUUCCUGCUCAUUAUACUGAUAGAUGAGAAUGAUAAAUACGAAGGAAUGGCGGCUAAAGUUAAUUUUUAACUGCGACGAUAAGGCGAUGUGGCGAUGAAGAAAGACCCCUUCAAUCUUCUGAUGCUCUGAAUUCCAUGUUGCUGGCUAAAAGUCCUUUCUCGCUGCAUUCAUUUCUAUGUUGCGGAAUUUACAUUGUCGUCUCGCCAACCCACAAUUUAUAAAAAAUUGAGGUGAAUUUGGAGUACCAGCACCAAGCAUGGGUGAUUUCAAUUUUUGUUGUUGCUGCUCCUCCUGGCCUGCUCGCUCCUGUACAGUGUUGCGGAUAUUGCCACUGCUGCCCCUGUAUAUUAUUGUUGUUGUCUCUAAUUGUUGAUCGAUUCAAGAUGAUGGCAAAUUUUCCCGACAUUAAAACCUUGGUUUUUGCGGUAUAUGGUAGUCUAAACAGAUUGAAAAUGUUUUUAGGAAACAUUGAUUAGCUAUGAUUUUUUUUUCUAGGUUAAUUAGUGUUAUUCGAUUUUGUAAUUUUCCUUAAAGGACAAGAAUGUACAAACUUUAUUUUAAG